GCGUGACAGCUCAGUCAGUAGAGCGUGAGACUCUAGAUCUCAGGGUUGUGGGUUUGAGCCCCACAUUGGACA